GUGCCCAUGAUGGAUACCUACUGUCUUCCUGAGAACGAUGAUGGUUUCAAAGGAACCACUGAGGCAU
ensembl:snoRNA SNORD42 Small nucleolar RNA SNORD42